UUUGAGGUUUUACAGAAUGUUUAGAUCUAUUAAUGUAGAUGUAACUCUAGAAAGUUUUAAUCGCAGAUUUGGAUCCCUACGGUGGUUUGUUCGAUGACAAGCAGACAAAAAUUCUGAAAAUUAAAUAGCACCUUGAAGAUCUUGACCAGAUUUUUUCCCUUUCUUUCUACUAAUUGUUUCGUUUAUAUUUCAAUUUUAUCUUUUUGAAUUUGAUUUUCUCUUUGGUUUGAAUUUGCUUCCGUGAGUUAGUUUGAUGAUUAUUUGGUUGAAUUGCUUCAAAAUCUAGCAGACAUGGAAAUAACUUUUCAAGCACUCAAGGUAAAUUAUUAGUUCGGAGAUUGGUGAAGCUAUUAGUCAGGUUUUGAACGACCAAAGUUGAAGAUAAGCUAUCUAACGGAAAAUGUUGUUUUAACGAUUUUUGUUAUUUUCCGUUAACUUUAUCAAUUUUUUGUUAACUCUAUUUGUCUUGGAAUUGAGUGAGUGCCGUGUAGUCAUGUACCUAUGAGGUUUUAUUUGUCUUUUCUGUGUCACUGUUGGAAUAUCAAAAGUCUCUGUACUCUCUUUAUUUAUUUCUUCUUGUAAAAGUCUCUCCAUUCUCUCAUCUCUCUCUCUCUUUCUUUCUUUCUUUCUUCGUUAGCCUGUUCUCUGAUUCAGAUUUGUAUCGAAGAACGCCGAACAACAAUUCUUCAAGGAGCAAGAACUGGUCUUCUCCGGUAUGGUCUAGGUAUAAAUUUUGGGUUUUUUGUUUUUUAUUUACAUGUUGUGAUAAAUCACGAAUCUCCUCUCUCUAUCUGGAUUUUCUUUUUAUAUUUCAAUUACAGUUACGGAUCUUCCAAAGUGAGAUUUUUUUCAAAUUUUUAUAGAAUGUUUAGAUCUAUUAAUAUAGAUAUAACUUCAGAAAGUUCUAAUCAGAGAUUUGGAUCCCUACGGUGGUUUGUUCGAUGACAAACAGACAAAAAUUCUGGAAAUUAAAGAGCACCUUGAAGAUCUUGAUCAGUUUGAUGGUUCUUUGGUUGAAUUGCUUCAAAAUCUAGCAUACAUGGAUAUAACCUUUCAAGCACUCAAGGUAAAUUAUUAGUUCGGAGAUUGGUAAAGCUAUUAGUCAAGUUUUGAACGACCAAAGUUUAAGAUAAAUAUGUACAAAUGUUCUUAUUUUUUUCAUUUAUGAUCUAUCGUUUUUUUUAAUUGCACAUGAUUGUGCACUAUUGCACUGCUGGGCAAUGGAUGGAUCAAGGAUGGUUAGCGACUGAACAACAAGAAACCGAGAGGAAGAGGUAGAAAGAGAAGGAACCAUGGCUUGGUGGUAGUCUUGGGUGGUCAGUGAUGUGGAGAAACACGAUUGACACGGGGUGACGGUGGCCUUGGAUGCGGGGAAGCUAAGUUAUGGCUUGUGGCUCACGGGUAGGAAGCAAAUACUUUGCUUUGGUUGCUAAAAACAUGGGCUGUUGGGUUGUGUGAGUGGAGGCGUUGGGCUUGAGGUUUAUGGGGGAGAGUCAAGGCCACUGUAUGAAGUCAAGGAAGCUUCUUACGAAGAAAGAGAUCAUGCCUUUGAGGUUGCACUGGAGUUCAAAAGCAAACUAGACUCUGGAAGUCCAUCUUUCAUCAAAUUAAUGGUCCGGUCUCAUGUUUAUAGCUGUUUUUGGUUGGUAUGUGGCGAUUAAGGCAAUUUAUGGUCUUCUUAUCUUAAUUAUACUUUAUCUAAUAUUUAUAUGCAACAUAUGCAAGAAAGGGUUCGAUGUAGCUUCUGAAGCUAACUUCUUAAUA